ACGGAGCCGUCAAGUCGGACACGUUGGGGAUCUCGUUGCUUCUUCAAACAUGGCAGAUCACGUGGCGUUUGCCUACUUUAUUGCAGAUGAACUGGAAGCUAUAGAAAUACAUUUUUUGUUGGAAUAAAUGCAGCAGGAUGAACAACGACGCUCCUCCACAACAGUUCCCAAACUGGUCAACAUCUUUUUUUUCAAAAGAUUGUCUGCGCCUCUCUUUUAGUUGACGCCAUCUCUCCAGGUCCGGCCUUACAAGAGACUCAAGCACAGCUGUUCUUCGUUCUGCAUGCGCUUCAUAUGCCUCAAAAAAUUGUGAGGGUUGUUAGGAUCUCUGCCUCCUGGACAUGCUUGUCCUGGCAGAGGUCCCCGGCUGCUCGUCUACAGAAGCACCUGCUGCCUGAGCUUGAGGAAGAGAGAUUGAUGGAGGCCUGUUUUGAGAAGGUGGAUCUUCCAAACAUAGAGGAGUAGAGCAGAUAGUUCCAGGUGGUGCAGUUCCUAUUCCAGAGGACCCAAAUAGCUCAUCCAUUUGCUGCAGAAAAAGCACAAUGUGAUACGAAAGUGACUUUGUAAUAAGAUGCAAAAUGAUCUUAUACAGUGCAGUCUUAGACUUACUGUGUAGUACUCCCAGGUUUGCUUUCCCUCCCCAGUUGCACGGCGGCGAUCCUUAACUCUUUUUCUUAGGUGCCAUACCUUGUGAUUCAGGGCAGUCUAUCUGGACGGAGGAUGGGUUUCUGGCUCCUGAAGGGUUACCACCCACUACAUCGGUUUUUAGGGUGGUAGUCGGUAGGUCCUGGCUAAUGGUUGUCUGUUGCACAGGGCACUGGCUGGUUGGUGGUUUCACAAAACUGAGAUUUAGGGGUACAGGUGACUCAGUGGAGGUAGAGGGACAUAGAGAAGGAGGUGGGGGAAACACUGCAGCACAAGCUAGAUCGCUGAUACUGUAGGAGCUGUUUA